GGAGCUAUUUUCUUCAUUGUGAUGAAUUAGAUAUUUGGUAACUUGUCAGCCAUUGACCUCUUUUAAGGCAGAAGCACAUUUUCAUUCAUGAGAAUGCCAGUGGGUUCUACAGGGUUUCCUCAUACUUCAUUGCUAAGGUUCUCUGUGACAUUAUACCAAUGAGAGUAUUACAACUCUGUAUAUUUGCAUCAGUGACAUACUUCAUGAUGGGUUUUCAAGUUGAAGUUAAUAAGUUCUUUAUCUAUUUCCUUGGGCUCAUGUUGGUUGCCAUUGCUGCCUCCUCCUCUGCCUUUUGGGUCAGUGCUGGUGUCACUGUGGCUGGUUUAGCUAAUCUACUGGUAACUCUCACUUAUGUGGUACAAAUGGUAC